rnacentral:rRNA from 1 species
ACGAACGCUGGCGGCGUGCCUAAUACAUGCAAGUCGAACGGUCUUUCUAUGGAAGCUUGCUCCACUGAGAAGAUAGUGGCGAACGGGUGAGUAACACGUGGGUAACCUGCCCAUAAGAGGGGGAUAACAUCCGGAAACGGGUGCUAAUACCGCAUAGUUUUCUUGAUCGCAUGAUUGAGAAAGGAAAGACGGCCUUUGUGCUGUCGCUUAUGGAUGGACCCGCGGCGUAUUAGUUAGUUGGUGAGGUAACGGCUCACCAAGACGAUGAUACGUAGCCGACCUGAGAGGGUGAUCGGCCACAUUGGGACUGAGACACGGCCCAAACUCCUACGGGAGGCAGCAGUAGGGAAUCUUCCGCAAUGGACGAAAGUCUGACGGAGCAACGCCGCGUGAGUGAAGAAAGGUUUUCGGAUCGUAAAACUCUGUUGUCAGAGAAGAACAAGUUGGAGAGUAACUGCUCCAGCCUUGACGGUAUCUGACCAGAAAGCCACGGCUAACUACGUGCCAGCAGCCGC